CGGGCGUGGGACACUCUAAAGGGACUGCCGGUGACAAACCGGAGGAAGGUGGGGAUGACGUCAAGUCAUCAUGGCCCUUACGGCCUGGGCUACACACGUGCUACAAUGGUCGGUACAAAGGGUUGCCAAGCCGCGAGGUGGAGCUAAUCCCAAUAAAACCGAUCGUAGUCCGGAUCGCAGUCUGCAACUCGACUGCGUGAAGUCGGAAUCGCUAGUAAUCGUGAAUCAGAAUGUCACGGUGAAUACGUUCCCGGGCCUU
rnacentral:rRNA from 1 species